rnacentral:ncRNA from 1 species
UGAAAGACGGUGAAGAGGAGUAGUAGGUCCUCACUCGAUUGCAGAGAGCCGGCGGUUGCUGCGAGCCGGUAUCGAGCGGGCUGAACUCGCCUCGGAGUUGCGCGAUUGAACCGGCAGUGGCGGCUAGGUUGCGACGUGAGCCUGCGUGAAUGGAAAUAAAGGGCCCCGUCGGGGCUGAAUCAGGGUGGUACCGCGAAGCCAAGCUCUCGCCCCUGGA